GUUUGUCUUUAUUGAUACGGAGACGUACAGUAAUGUCAUGAACUAGGGGGACUUCCUUGAUUAAGCUAAUACUGCCUAGAGAUAGGGGUAGGACGAUCAAUUGUAUUUUGCUUCCGUUUAUCAUGCAUUAUUAGUUACUAGGGGAGGCUAGAGAUAGCAAGCCGAUAAUUAGUAAUAGGCUCUUUUCGCCAAGAAAUUGGGUUAAGGAUAGACCAAGAAAGUUUGCAUGACAAUAUUAUAAAUAAGCAAAUUAAAUAAGAAGAGUAGAUAUAAGAGAGUGGAUAAGAUGAAAUUGUAAACCCCAACAACACCGUUCAUUCAUAGUUUCUUUUCCUUGCCAAUUGAAUCAUGAUAAUGGUCUAAAAACCGUUAUUUUAAUACUUAAGUUUGAUAUUAAAAAAAAACCCUCUAUGGCUUAGAAUGAGCUUUAAAUUAAGUAAAACACUUACUUGUGUCUU
rnacentral:lncRNA from 1 species